rnacentral:rRNA from 1 species
GAUGAACGCUGGCGGCGUGCCUAAUACAUGCAAGUCGAGCGAACAGACGAGGAGCUUGCUCCUCUGACGUUAGCGGCGGACGGGUGAGUAACACGUGGAUAACCUACCUAUAAGACUGGGAUAACUUCGGGAAACCGGAGCUAAUACCGGAUAAUAUAUUGAACCGCAUGGUUCAAUAGUGAAAGACGGUUUUGCUGUCACUUAUAGAUGGAUCCGCGCCGCAUUAGCUAGUUGGUAAGGUAACGGCUUACCAAGGCAACGAUGCGUAGCCGACCUGAGAGGGGGGGUGGCCACCCCUGGAACGGGACCAGGUCCCAGACCCCGAGGGGAGGCGCAGGGGGGAAUUCUCCCGGAAGGGGCGAAGCCCGGAGGGAGCACGGCGGCGGGAGGAAGAAGGGUUUCCGUACCUAAAAACUGUGUUUUUGGGAAAAAAAAAGUGGGAAAGAAAAAAGGCCCGUUUGCAGGUUCCCUAAUAGAAAGCCCCCGCCUAACUAGGCC